GCCAGUGUGGCAUAGUGGUUUGAGUGUUCGUCUACAACUCUAGAGACCAGGGUCUGAAUCCCUGCCUGGCC